UACGUAGGAUGCAAGCGUUGUCCGGAUUUACUGGGCGUAAAGCGCGCGCAGGCGGCACUCUAAGUACGCUGUGAAAUAUCCCGGCUCAACCUCGCGCCUGCAGUGGGUACGGGCAGACUAGAGUGCGGUAGGGGAGAUUGGAAUUCCUGGUGUAGCGGUGGAAUGCGCAGAUAUCAGGAGGAACACCGAUGGCGAAGGCAGAUCUCUGGGCCGUUACUGACGCUGAGGAGCGAAAGCGUGGGGAGCGAACAGG
rnacentral:rRNA from 1 species